GGACCCCCAGGGAGACGCACCCUUCAUUCCAGGGGCGCCCCCAUCUUCCCCGACGACCGUGAGGCACAGCCAAAGGCCGUAGACACCACGGGCUUCCCGCUAGCUCCACACAGGUCUGCGCUGUGGAAGGCGGUCCGCGGGACGACACGUGCUUUUUAGCUCGCUUUUUCCUUUUCCUCGAUUCUCACGUUUUUGACAAUGAACGCAUCCUAAGCAGAGAAAACCCUGCCAUUUACUUAUUUAUUUAAAGCAAACAAUCUGACCUGCCCAACAGCACCCUUCGGAGACACUAUUCACGGGGCUCCUGAGAAACGCUGCACAAAUUAACCCCAGGUAUUUCUGGAAUGGUACGUGUGCCGAGAAGCAGCUCGCGGUCACUGGGCACGGCCCUGAUGAGAAGCUGAGAGAAACACCCAAGAAACAGCCCCUGAAACCGAGGGCCCUGCCCCUGAGGAAGGCAGCCAGGCCCGCAGUGGAUGGCCAGCUGCCCUCUCGCUGGGUGGCCAGCCCGUAGGAACUCACUGAGAGGCCCUGAGCCUGUAAAACCACCAUCAAAUCCUCUCCCACCGAGAACCUGCAAGGAUUUACUAAGCAGCACUUGUAAGGUGCUCAGCACAGAGCCGGAUGUAUAGAAAACCCUCAAUAAAGGCGACAGAAAUUUC